GGGUUCGGGUCGAUGUAAAUUAGAUGUAUAGCAUGUGGGGUUAAAAGGUUUAACUUAGAUCUAUUUCCACUGCUGUUUCAAAAUAUUUUGAAAUCUAUGCAUGUUAAUCUAUCUAGUUUUCUAACACCCUGCUCCUCCCUUCUCUGCAGAGCUAAAAAAAAGAGUUUAGCUCACAGUGCCGGAGGUGGUGGCGGCAGCGG
rnacentral:lncRNA from 1 species